GACAGAGGGGGCAAGCGUUGCUCGGAAUUACUGGGCGUAAAGCGUGCGCAGGCGGUUUUGUAAGUCUGUCGUGAAAUCCCCGGGCUCAACCUGGGAAUUGCGAUGGAGACUGCAAGGCUAGAAUCUGGCAGAGGGGGGUAGAAUUCCACGUGUAGCAGUGAAAUGCGUAGAGAGUGUGGAGGAACACCGGUGGCGAAGGCGGCGCUCUGGACCGAGACGUGACGCG
rnacentral:rRNA from 1 species